rnacentral:lncRNA from 1 species
AACUGCGCUCAGGUCUCCUUCCGGUGUGUGGGUUGUUUGUUCUUUUGCUCUUCGCAGUAAAUUUUGCUGGUGCUCAGUCCUUGGGUCUGCACUACCUUUAUGAGCUGUAAGACUGACUGUGCAGGUCUGCGGCUUCAUUUCUGAAGUCAGCAAGACCAUGAACCCACCAGAAGGAAGAAACAAACUCUGGACACAUCUGAACAUCUGAAGGAAAAAAUUCCGGACACACCAUCUUUAAGAACUGUGACACUCACCGCAAGGGUCUGUGGCUUCAUUCUUGAAGCAAUGAGACGAAGAACCCACCAGAAGGAACCAAUUCCGGACACAUUUUGGCGACCACAAAGGGAAAAUCGACUAUCACCAAGCGCUUUUCAUUGUAAUGAUGUGAAUUAUUGCUGAACUGAUGACCUCAAACUCCUGCAAACAACUUGGAUAUCAGUGACCCCAUGAGAAUCUGUAAUAUCACUGGACAUGAAAAGAAGCCUGGUCCCUUCUACAACCAUGACAUAUAUUUGUAUUUAUGGUCCUCUGGAGAAUCUUGCCUUUUCCCACCAAUUUUUAUUUUACUCUAUCUAUAGUAUUGUAAUUUCAGAAGAAGAAAAUAAACUACAUUCCAUUCAUUGCCUGACAUGAAACCAUAUUUUUAUUACAUCUGUCAAGUGACUCUAGAUAUCUAAUCACAAAGUGAGAUCUGAGUGUGCCUUUCAUGAAUACUAAAAAAAAUUCACUGCAUCUCAUAUAUAUAUACCCCAGAUUCUAUUUGUUACUUCUUCCAUACAAUCUGGAUUUUCUUAAAUAAUUUAUAUGUAAAUGGUUUAGUAAAUACAAUUGCUAUGAAUUUUCUGGUGAAAAAGAGGCAUUCAAUCCAAAAAUUAUACGUACUUUGAAGUAAAAUUUCCUAGCUGUGAAUACCUGUGGUGACACCAUCUACAUUAACCCAGGUAUGUUUCAAUUAUCUCAUCUGCAAUAUUGGUAUAGUAGUAGCACCAAACUUAAAAGGUUACAAUGACAAUUAAAUAAUUAGUAUGUAUAAAGUGAACACGCAGUGCCUGUCAUAUAGCAUUUGCUAUAGAUAUGAUAUCUAUUAUUACCAUUUGGUAGGCAUUCAUUUAUACUACAUUUGGAUCCAAGAUGAAGAUGUCAAACUAGAUUAGCUGCUUGCAUAAAAUAGUGGAAACUCAAGAAUGAACAAGUAUCAAGAUAAAUCACUUCAUUUAAACAAAGUGAGAUUGGUAAUCUUUUCAUUCAUUCAUUUUAUUCAUUCCUUUUUUUACUCUGGAAAAUAUAGGGUAGUUAGAUGAGAGAUCAUAUUGAUAUUAUAGUGUAGUGAUAGAAAACAGAGCAAAUGGAUAAAUAAAUGCAUUUGAUUGUGAUAUAUGGAUGAAACUAGGUUGAUAUGAUAGAGAAUAACUAAACUGGAAGAAGGUUAAGCGUGUUCCAUAGGAAUUUGCAUUUGAGCUGAAACCUAAAGGUAAAUGGGUGAGCCAUGCUAAGAGCUGGAGGCAGAGAACUCCAUAUAGAUGGACCUUUGGCCUUUUGUAGAAAUAGGAAGUAUUAUUUGGCUAAAGGACGGUAAUCCAGAAAGAGAGUGGUGGGAAUAGAAUCGGGGAGGGGGACAGACGGUAGAACGGGUAAGGCAUCAUGUGCCAGAAUAAGGCCCUCAGUUGUUUUUUUUUUUUUUUUUUUUUGCUGAGUACAGAAGAAACCAAUAGGAAGAUUUUAUACAAGAAAGUGAUAUAGCUGGAUUGACAUACAUUAAAAUCUUUCUGUCUCAUGAGGAAAAUGGUUUGAUGUGGGUGAGGUUCUUGACAAGAAUGAAAGCAACAAACUGUUUAGGAAACAACUAUCAAAGUCAAGGGCAGAAUGUUCUAGUAUGGUAGGGGUAUAGCUAAAGAAAGUGGGCAGGUUUCUGUCAUAUUUCAGGAGACAAAUUGAUUGGAACAGCUUGUGAAUUUGAUAUGGGUGAAGCAGGAAAGAUGGUUUCAGUAACUACAUAAAUGGCUUACUGUAUAUUUUAAACUGCAAGAUCUAUGUG